rnacentral:rRNA from 1 species
CCUACGGGAGGCAGCAGUAAGGAAUAUUGGUCAAUGGACGGAAGUCUGAACCAGCCAUGCCGCGUGCAGGAAGACGGCCUACGGGUUGUAAACUGCUUUUGCAGGGGAAUAUGUACUCUGAGAAUAAGGAUCGGCUAACUCCGUGCCAGCAGCCGCGGUAAUACGGAGGAUCCAAGCGUUAUCCGGAUUUAUUGGGUUUAAAGGGUGCGUAGGUGGCUUUUUAAGUCAGGGGUGAAAGACGGUAGCUUAACUAUCGCAGUGCCUUUGAUACUGAAGAGCUUGAAUAAACUAGAGGUAGGCGGAAUGUGACAAGUAGCGGUGAAAUGCAUAGAUAUGUCACAGAACACCAAUUGCGAAGGCAGCUUACUAUGUUUAUUGACACUGAGGCACGAAAGCGUGGGGAUCAAACAGGAUUAGAUACCCUUGUAGUC